rnacentral:rRNA from 1 species
UACGUAGGGUCCGAGCGUUGUCCGGAAUUAUUGGGCGUAAAGGGCUUGUAGGCGGUCUGUUGCGUCGGGAGUGAAAACUUACAGCUUAACUGUGAGCGUGCUUUCGAUACGGGCAGACUUGAGGCAUUCAGGGGAGAACGGAAUUCCUGGUGCAGCGGUGAAAUGCGCAGAUAUCAGGAGGAACACCGAUGGCGAAGGCAGUGGUCUGGGCCGGUACUGACGCUGAGGAGCGAAAGCGUGGGGAGCGAACAGG